rnacentral:snoRNA from 1 species
ACUCUCCAGAUUCCUUCCCUAUCAGACUUAAACAGUGGCUGAGUGGUUAUGAAAGAGGAAAGUAAAAUUGAAACUGACAUCUAUUAUUUUGUGGUACAGAAGCUAGUUUUAAGAAACA